UACGUAGGGCGCAAGCGUUGUCCGGAAUUAUUGGGCGUAAAGAGCUCGUAGGCGGCCAGUCGCGUCUGCUGUGAAAUCCCGGGGCUCAACCCCGGGCGUGCAGUGGAUACGGGCUGGCUAGAGGCAGGCAGGGGAGAACGGAAUUCCCGGUGUAGCGGUGAAAUGCGCAGAUAUCGGGAGGAACACCGGUGGCGAAGGCGGUUCUCUGGGCCUGUACUGACGCUGAGGAGCGAAAGCGUGGGGAGCGAACAGG
rnacentral:rRNA from 1 species